rnacentral:rRNA from 1 species
CGGAGGAUCCAAGCGUUAUCCGGAAUCAUUGGGUUUAAAGGGUCCGUAGGCGGUCCUGUAAGUCAGUGGUGAAAGCCCAUCGCUCAACGGUGGAACGGCCACUGAUACUGCAGGACUUGAAUUACUGGGAAGCAACUAGAAUAUGUAGUGUAGCGGUGAAAUGCUUAGAGAUUACAUGGAAUACCAAUUGCGAAGGCAGGUUGCUACCGGUGGAUUGACGCUGAUGGACGAAAGCGUGGGUAGCGAACAGGAUUAGAUACCCUGGUAGUCCACGCCGUAAACGAUGGAUACUAGCUGUUGGGAGCGAUCUCAGUGGCUAAGCGAAAGUGAUAAGUAUCCCACCUGGGGAGUACGAACGCAAGUUUG